rnacentral:tRNA from 1 species
UCCCAGCUGGCUUAGUCGGUAGAGCACGCGAUUCUUGAUUUCAGGGUCGUGAGUUCAAGCCCCAUGUUGGGCA